GAUGAACGCUAGCUACAGGCUUAACACAUGCAAGUCGAGGGGCAGCAUGGUCUUAGCUUGCUAAGGCCGAUGGCGACCGGCGCACGGGUGAGUAACACGUAUCCAACCUGCCGUCUACUCUUGGACAGCCUUCUGAAAGGAAGAUUAAUACAAGAUGGCAUCAUGAGUCCGCAUGUUCACAUGAUUAAAGGUAUUCCGGUAGACGAUGGGGAUGCGUUCCAUUAGAUAGUAGGCGGGGUAACGGCCCACCUAGUCUUCGAUGGAUAGGGGUUCUGAGAGGAAGGUCCCCCACAUUGGAACUGAGACACGGUCCAAACUCCUACGGGAGGCAGCAGUGAGGAAUAUUGGUCAAUGGGCGAGAGCCUGAACCAGCCAAGUAGCGUGAAGGAUGACUGCCCUAUGGGUUGUAAACUUCUUUUAUAAAGGAAUAAAGUCGGGUAUGGAUACCCGUUUGCAUGUACUUUAUGAAUAAGGAUCGGCUAACUCCGUGCCAGCAGCCGCGGUAAUACGGAGGAUCCGAGCGUUAUCCGGAUUUAUUGGGUUUAAAGGGAGCGUAGAUGGAUGUUUAAGUCAGUUGUGAAAGUUUGCGGCUCAACCGUAAAAUUGCAGUUGAUACUGGAUAUCUUGAGUGCAGUUGAGGCAGGCGGAAUUCGUGGUGUAGCGGUGAAAUGCUUAGAUAUCACGAAGAACUCCGAUUGCGAAGGCAGCCUGCUAAGCUGCAACUGACAUUGAGGCUCGAAAGUGUGGGUAUCAAACAGGAUUAGAUACCCUGGUAGUCCACACGGUAAACGAUGAAUACUCGCUGUUUGCGAUAUACUGCAAGCGGCCAAGCGAAAGCGUUAAGUAUUCCACCUGGGGAGUACGCCGGCAACGGUGAAACUCAAAGGAAUUGACGGGGGCCCGCACAAGCGGAGGAACAUGUGGUUUAAUUCGAUGAUACGCGAGGAACCUUACCCGGGCUUAAAUUGCAGAUGAAUUACGGUGAAAGCCGUAAGCCGCAAGGCAUCUGUGAAGGUGCUGCAUGGUUGUCGUCAGCUCGUGCCGUGAGGUGUCGGCUUAAGUGCCAUAACGAGCGCAACCCUUGUUGUCAGUUACUAACAGGUUCCGCUGAGGACUCUGACAAGACUGCCAUCGUAAGAUGUGAGGAAGGUGGAGAUGACGUCAAAUCAGCACGGCCCUUACGUCCGGGGCUACACACGUGUUACAAUGGGGGGUACAGAGGGCCGCUACCACGCGAGUGGAUGCCAAUCCCCAAAACCUCUCUCAGUUCGGACUGGAGUCUGCAACCCGACUCCACGAAGCUGGAUUCGCUAGUAAUCGCGCAUUCAGCCACGGCGCGGUAAAUACGUUUCCCGGGCCC
rnacentral:rRNA from 1 species